rnacentral:lncRNA from 1 species
UAGUGGGGUGGGGAGUGCGGGAAUGAGAGGCUGGUGAGGGAGCAGUUGCGACGUUGCGGGGCGACGACGUGUGUUUCGUUAACAAAGGCAAUUUCGUUAACGAAGCAUUUAGACCGUUGAUGAUGUAAUUCAGAUUUAUAUUUGGAUCUGCACUCUCUUCCUUUUUUAGUGGUAGUAGAUAUGUUCUUCGUCUUCCCCUUAGCUAUGAAAAAACCAGUAAGAACCUCCGUUC